GACGAACGCUGGCGGCGUGCCUAAUACAUGCAAGUAGGACGCAGUUGCGAACGGGUUAGUAACGCUUCGGUAACUGCCUAUUAGAUGGUGAUAACUAUUAGAAAUGAUAGCUAAUACCGCAUACUAGUAGAUGGACCUGCGUUGUAUUAGCUAGUAGGUAGGGUAAUGGCCUACCUAGGAAACGAUACAUAGCCGAACUGAGAGGGUGAUCGGCCAAACUGGGACUGAGACACGGCCCAGACUCCUACGGGAGGCAGCAGUAGGGAAUCUUCGGCAAUGGGGGGAAACCUGACCGAGCAACGCCGCGUGAGUGAAGAAGGUGUUCGGAGCGUAAAGCUCUGUUGUUAAGGAAGCGGUACUUAACCAGAAAGGGACGGCUAACUACGUGCCAGCAGCCGCGGUAAUUC
rnacentral:rRNA from 1 species